rnacentral:lncRNA from 1 species
CUAUGACACACCCCGUCCCGAAGGAGGGCAUGCUGGCCGUCACGUGAGAGUGACGUAACCAUUUGCACAGUACGGAAGCUUUAAGAUACAAUUUAUAAGUUGAUACACCCGAAGGUGAGUCCUAAUUUUGUCCAAUCUGUCAGAACACCGUCGAAUUCCUCGUAGUCACCACACCUUUGUGAUUCCUGAACCUGGAGGGGCGCAAAACCAAAAUUGAGUGGGUCAGUAAAACAAUUCUUUUUCCAAAUCCAAACAUUUCUCAAAACGUUGUAACCCCUCUCCGUAAAACCUGUAUACUUUCCCAGAAAUGUAAAAUAUAAAUAUACAUAUAUAUUCUCAAGACUUCAAGUCGUUAACUCAACAUUUUCAUAACAAUUAUGCCAUGCCACAUCAUCUCAACAGUAAUAAGGUAUGAAUGCAUCAACAUAAUCAUAUCAGGUGCAAGAAAGUAAUCAACCGUAGGCCCUCUAAUAGCCCUGUACGGUUGAACCUAGAGCUCAAAAUCUAUCAUUAUCACUCUACCGGAGUCACCUCUGUGACCCGUCCGGCCUUCUGCACACAAGUUACGCUCUAGUGCUUCUCAUAAAUCAUCUGUGCACAUAAUCUAAGGUCACCCACCAGUCGGAAUCUCACUAACACUCUCGCGACUGGUCUGUCGUACCCACUCCGCGUGGACUGUACGACUAGCAUCUACUUGGAUCCAAGGCGAGCGUGCGAUGUGGUGAAUACUAUAAGCACUAAACCAUGGUGCAGGAUUUGAGCUCAAUAUAUAUCAUCAUCAUCAUAACAGUAAUUAAAUACUCAUCUGUGCGUCCACCGCACCAUUUCAUACAUAUGCAUCAUAAAUCAAUUCUUACCUGUGCGUCCACCGCACCAAUUCAUACAUAUGCAUCAUAAAUCAAUUCUUACCUGUGCGUCCACCGCACCAAUUCAUACAUAUGCAUCAUAAAUCAAUUCUUACAUGUGCGUCCACCGCACCAAUUCAUACAUAUGCAUCAUAUAUUAAUUCAUGCAUGGCAUUUCAACUCACAUUUCUAUAUACUUUUCAUAUCAAUUCUAUGCAUGGUAUUUCACUUCCCGUUUUUCCACAUAACUCAUAUGCAUUUCAUUUUAAACAUAUUUUCAUUUCAAUUCAAUUUCUGGGAAACGUCAAGUAUAUAUAUAUACGGAAAACAAAACUGCCCACUCACCUGGAGUUCGUCCAACAACUCCCUAGCACCACACAUCAAGGCGUCAUGACGAUCGCCGCCUAGAAUAGUAAUAGUAAUCAAAUCCAGGCUCAGAAUUCAUAUCGAUAGAAUACAUAACUUAUAUAAAAUACGUCACUACGUUGAUCGAUCCGGAAGAUCUGCCACUCAGAUUUUAAAUCCAUAACUUCCAGAGGUCCACAUUAUACCUCUAGGACAACAUCCUAAAAUUUCAUUACCAUCCAACGGUCGGAUCUCCGUCAAUUUCCAAAACUAAGUGACGGUUAACAUUUUAUAUUAUGGACUUACAAUUCCAAUUCCGGAAGAUCCGUAACUCGGAUUCCCAAUCCGUAAGUUCCAAUAAUCCUCAAAUAUUACGUAUUACAACGUAUCAAAUUUUGGUGACGAUCCAACGGUCGGAUCAUCAAUUCACAUUUUCACCUAAAUGUGAAAACUAUAAAACGUUAUUUGAACACCUAACCAACAAUCCUCAAUAACUUUCUCAUACGGUGUUCAAUUUAGGUAUAUGAAUAUACCACAGUGAUCUACUCGACGUCACGGACGUCGACAUAUUUUUAAAAUAAUUUUAUUUUUAUUUUUUAUUUUUACUGUAGCACCUUCUUCUUCCUUGGGUCGCCGGACUGGUUUUUCCGGCGGCCGUUUUCCGGGCAGUUUUUCAAAUUGCCAUAACUUUGUCAUUUCUCAACGAAAUCAAGUGAUUCAAAAACGAAAGUUGUAGCCCUUGAAGAGAAAAAGAGAAUGGUACCUUGCACAACACCUAGUUCGCCGUGGUUUGGCCGGAAACUUCCUCGAAAGCCUCGGAGGUCGCCGGAAACUGGGUAUUUUUCAAAUGAGUAUAACUUCUUCAAUACUCAACGAAAUUGAGUGAAACAAAAAGGAAAGUUGUAGUACUUGACGAGACGAAGAGAUUGAUACCUACCUCGACUCCUAACUCGCCGGGUAUUCGCCGGAAAACGCCUCGAAAGCUCCGGCCAAACUUUGAACUUGUCGAUCUCCGUGUUCUUACGUCCAAAAACUUCCAACGAAGCACUCCGAGCUUCCUUGGGACCUUACUAAACUCGCUGUGAUCUUGUUUUAGCCUAAAACGUAACCAAUUCAAAGCUCAUGAACAGUGUCAUCUCACGGCAACUUUAGAACUAGGGUUUUCGAAGUGAAACUCACCUGAAAUUGGUAUCCCCGUGCUCGUGAAGUCCCCAGGAUCACGAUGGUGGUCUUAAAUGGAACGUUGGUACAAGAUUGUGGUGGUUCUUGGUGGUUGCCGUGAGUUCGAGAGUAAGAGAGAGAAUGAGAGAGUUUCAGAAAAGAAUAAGAGAGAGAGAGAGUCUGGAAUGAAAGAAGAAGAGAGAAGAAAGGUUACGGGUUUUAGGGAGGGAAUUCAGGGUAGGAGGCCCUACCUAAGUCCAAGCACAAAUUAACACAUACAAAUAUAAAUCUAACCCUAGUUUAGGAUCUUAAAGUAAAACAAAUGUCAUACAUUUACACACCUUAAUCCCGUUUAAGGUCACAUUGGUCAUCUCACGUCCUCGGAAUUAAUAAUUCCGGGACGGGCUGUGACAAUCUCCCCUCCUUAUAGAAUUUCGUCCCCGAAAUUCCAAUCACCAACCAGAACAUCAAAACUCAUAAAAUAGUCUCGGAUACAUAACUCUCAUCCGUUCUUCUGUCUCCCAUGUAAUUUUCUACUGAAUGAUUUCCUUCACAAAGCUUUUACUACUUACUCUGUCUUAAUUCUUAGGACCUUCUUUUUCCAAUCCAAAGUCGACAUUAGUUCCUCACCAAUCAGAUCCGGCUUAAUUCUCAAUAGUUGCACCAAAGUCCCAUGUAACGACUCUGCCACUUAGUGACAACGCAUCGAACACAAAAUACAUUAUGUGCCUUAGCCAAUUCUGAAGGCAUCACAAACUUGUAUGCAAGUUUAUUGAUUCCUUUAGUGAAAAAAAAAAAUGGUCUGAUGUGUCUAAAUCUUAUCUUGUCUCUUUUCCAAUUCUCGUCAUUUCUGUUCGCGGUGAAUUUUCCAAAAAUAUCAAACCAUUUACCUUACACACUCGAUUAGUGGCAUAUCCAUCUGUUGAUCUCUUUUUGCCAUUCCUGGUUACUUCAGGUUAACUUAAUCACCUGAAUACUUUGAGGAGACUCAUCCAUAGUCUCAGGGUCUACUAAAACUCUUUCUUGAUCGAAUCUUUCUCUACCCAGAAACAUUCCAUUCACAAGUCAUCAAAAACCGACUCACGUGACACAUUUCAUGGUCCUUAUGGCGUUACUUCGGAAACUGCACAACCAACAUACUUAAGAAACUUAGCAGUUCCGUAAUCCAAUUCUCUUUUCCAUAAAACAAAUUAGUAAUGUUGCACUGUCUGGGAAAGGUUGUUACUCAACACUGGAGUAAAUGUACUAACUUGUUACUUAACAAGUAUAACUUCUUCUCGAUCUUCCAUUCUUAACUUUACUUUAGUUGGUUUCCAAUCCACAAGAAGAUAAUCUUGGCAAACGUGCCAGACAUUAAUCUUACUGUAGUCUUCUCGCCAAGUGCUUGAGCUAGAACAAACUUUACGAUCACCCUGAUCGUACAAUCAUGUUCAUUAAACAAUACAAUUCACUUUCGCUGCCUCAUAUCAAAUUCCUUCCAAGUAAUGGAUAUUGAAGACUUUUUGGAUUCGUAAAAAAAAAUCUUGCAUUCCCACUAAAAUAUAAUGUCUCCAUAACUUCACAGCACGAAUGGUAAUCGUGACUUCCAAAUCACCAGUAGGGUAAUUCAUCUUAUGAGAUUCCAUUUAUCGUGAAACGUAUGCAAUCACCCUAACAUUUGCAUCAACAUGCAUCCAAUACCAUUCAAGAAACAUCACUAAAAAUUUAUGAUUACCAUUAUUCUCUGGGAUUACCAAAAUACGUGCAUGAGUGAGGAAAUACUUCAGUUGUUGAAUCCUUUGCUUACAAUUCCUUCCCACUCAUACCUAACCUCUUUUCUCAACAGUCUCGUCAAUGACAAAGCAAUGACUGAAAAAUCUUUCACAACCAUCCAAGAUAGCCUGGUAAGCUAAGAAAUUCCAAAUCUCAAUUACGACUCGUGGUUGUUCCAAAUUUUAAUUUCUGUUACCUUUUAAGGAUUCACUUGAAUACCUUAAGAAUAUAUAACAUAUCCCAGAAAUGCUGCUUGAUUCAUCCAACAUUCGCAUUUGCUAAACUUAGCAUACAACCAACGUUCUCUUAAUCUUUGCUUCACCGACUUAAUACGUUUACAUGCUCUGCUCUAGGCUUAGAGUAUACCAGAAUAUCUUCAAUGAAAAUGAUAUCUAUUUAUCAAGGCAUUAUUGGAAUACUUCAUCCAAUAACUCAUAAAACAGCAUGAGUAUCCAUAUAGCAUCACCAAACUUCAUAAAGACUAUAACGAGUCCAGAAAACCAUCUUAUGAUCAAUGUCACUUAUAAUAUUCAAUUGGUAGUAACCAGAUCUCAAUUCAAUCUUUGAAUCUUCGCAAUUACUUCUGAGCUGGUUAAAUAAACAUCAGUACAUCACCAUGGAUAACGGUUCUCAAUCGUUACCCGACUCCAUUGUCUAUAAUCAAUGAACAGUCUCAAGAUCCAUUUUCUUCCUCACCAACAAACUGGGGCUCCUCAAAAGUGUUGUACUAGGUUGAAUAAAACUUUUAUCAACCAAUUCCCUCAACUGAAUUUCCAAUUCCCUUAACUCAUCAUGAACCAAUCUCCAAUAUAAAUUUAUACCUGGCAACAAAUCAAUAGUGAACCUCAUAUCUCUGCCUGAAGGCAAUCCAGGUAUACUUUCAGGGAAGACAUCAAGAAAAGUCUAACUCUUUCGACAUUAUUCACACUACUCCAAACAACAUCAUUUAGCACCACAUGAGCUAAGUAUUUUUGACAGCCUUUCGAAAACAAUCUCUUUGCUCUCACAACAUAAAUAAUGGCUGAACUCAAUCCAUUUUGCAUACUUACAAAAGUAAUCUCUGUUCAUCCAGAUCGAUGGAAAGUACUGGUUUCCCAUAACAUUUCGUCUUGUCACAAUUAUAACCAACCAAUCUAAUGGAAAUAAUUUAACCGACACAAUACAUACUCUAUUACUACUAAGCAUUCUGAAUAAGUACAAAAUAAUCUACCGGUUUACUUACUUAACGAAUCCACGAAUGAGUUAUUAAUAUUACGGUCUGCAGCCCGCAAUACUGAUAAAUCAUCGUUGUCUCGAUAAGUAGGCAACCACUCUCAAAGAUAUAACAUUACUAUUUUGUCACUCAAUGCAAAAUACAUACACUCAUCUCAACUACAUUUAUUUACUACUCUCAAGGUAAUAACAUACAUAAUAAGAAAUAUAUCAGCCGAAGUCAACUAGAAUGAUCAAUACGACUGAUUCAACUCUUAUCUCAAUAAUACGUCGGCCGGAUCCACUCCGCGUGGUCGGUACGGCCGAGCCUAUAACUCACAAAUUUCGCAUGUGUCAAUCGAAUCCACUUCUCGUGGCCUGUACGGCUGAACAUAUAACUCAUCAAAUUUCUCUGUACUCACAGUCAAUCCGACCAAACUACUAAGUUUAUAACUCUUCUGAAUCGACACUAUGAUAUCAUGGAAAAUUAUUGAGUACAACUGAUUCUAGGGACGAUUCACAAUUCUGUGUCCCCUCUGUUCACAUAAACACAUUCAUUAAUUUCACACUUCCCAAAGUGUUAAUUUUUGUACCUGCAGCACAAGGUACAUUUCCUUUACUCGAGACACCUUGUCUCAAAUAUCUGGGAUUACCAGUAUAUCCAUCACUUUUAUUCUGACCAGCGACAUUAAAACCUCAGCUGGAAAAAUUAACUCUAGCUUCACUUCUUUCGAAGCUCUGAAUCUUUCUAUAUCCUUGAUAUGACGAAUCAUUAACUUUAUCGUCUUCUUUUAAUUCCUAUUCUUUUCUUAUUCUUCUUUAUUCUCGUUGCUCAUGUUCUCAGAGUCCUCAAGAUUCAACAACAUCUAGCAUACUCCUGAUAAGAACUACAAUGGAUAGUGGUCACCCAAAAUACCACUUCCCUUUUGUCACCCAGCUUAAAACAACAUAACACCUCCACCAAAUUAACAACAAUAUCUGGAUGGAACGAGGCUAGUCUGAAAACUUUCUAUAAUAUCCCUCGAUCAUCACCUUCCUUGUCUCAUAUUUGUAAAUUCUUGUUUACUACCAUCGAUAAAUGCCGGAGGGAUAAACUUUUCCUUUAAACAAGUCCUUAAACAAUUCUCAAUCGACUGAUUCCUCUGGUGACAACAAUUCAUACUCCUGUUUCCACCAGGAUACAAAUUCAUAACCAAAACCAGGUAGUCGUCUCGACCCCCUGUCAGAAGGAAAUUUCCUUUGACUUGCAUAAUCUGAAACAUCUUUUCCAAAUGGUUAAACCGUUACUUCGCUCUCUCAGGUUCAUCAUUUCAUAAGGUGAUUCAAGUUCAACUCAUUACCCAUCUUAAAAUGUCCCUUUAGACAAUAGACUGAAUCACCAUAGUAAUAGUUUCCCCCUAAACCGCUAAAUCAGGGAGACUAAGUUCCUCUAACUACGUGGCUUGCUACGAGGCGGUGUAGUUCUGACAGAAUUCACUAGAACUUCUCAAGAUGUCCAAGAUUGCAACCAUGCUCUGAUACCAACUGACACACCCCGUCCCGAAGGAGGGCAUGCUGGCCGUCACGUGAGAGUGACGUAACCAUUUGCACAGUACGGAAGCUUUAAGAUACAAUUUAUAAGUUGAUACACCCGAAGGUGAGUCCUAAUUUUGUCCAAUCUGUCAGAACACCGUCGAAUUCCUCGUAGUCACCACACCUUUGUGAUUCCUGAACCUGGAGGGGCGCAAAACCAAAAUUGAGUGGGUCAGUAAAACAAUUCUUUUUCCAAAUCCAAACAUUUCUCAAAACGUUGUAACCCCUCUCCGUAAAACCUGUAUACUUUCCCAGAAAUGUAAAAUAUAAAUAUACAUAUAUAUUCUCAAGACUUCAAGUCGUUAACUCAACAUUUUCAUAACAAUUAUGCCAUGCCACACAUCAUCUCAACAGUAAUAAGGUAUGAAUGCAUCAACAUAAUCAUAUCAGGUGCAAGAAAGUAAUCAACCGUAGGCCCUCUAAUAGCCCUGUACGGUUGAACCUAGAGCUCAAAAUCUAUCAUUAUCACUCUACCGGAGUCACCUCUGUGACCCGUCCGGCCUUCUGCACACAAGUUACGCUCUAGUGCUUCUCAUAAAUCAUCUGUGCACAUAAUCUAAGGUCACCC